rnacentral:rRNA from 1 species
UUAAGCAAAGAAGAGCGCAGGGUGGAUGCCUUGGCACUAAGAGCCGAAGAAAGACGUGAUAAGCUGCGAAAAGCUGCGGGGAGAUGCAAAUAAUCCUUGAUCCGCAGAUGUCUGAAUGGGGAAACCCGGUACGAAGAACUCGUAUCAUCCAUACGCCAAUCCAUAACGUAUGGAGGGGAACCCGGUGAACUGAAACAUCUAAGUAGCCGGAGGAAGAGAAAGAAACAUCGAUUUUGUUAGUAGCGGCGAGCGAAAGCGAAAGAGGCCAAACCGGAGUGCGUGCACUCCGGGGUUCGGACCGCAUUUAAGAUUCAGUGAUUCUAGCAGAAAGGUUUGGGAAAGCCUGCCGGAGAGGGUGAAAGCCCCGUAAGCGAAAGGAGAACUGACUGAGCGGGAUCCAGAGUACAUCGAGACACGAGAAACCUUGAUGGAAUGAGCGGGGACCACCCCGUAAGCCUAAAUACUACUUAGUGACCGAUAGCGCAUAGUACUGUGAAGGAAAGGUGAAAAGGACCCCGGGAGGGGAGUGAAAGAGAACCUGAAACCCUGUGUUUACAAGCUGUGGAAGUUCUUUAAAUGAACAACCGCGUACUUUUUGUAGAACGGUCCGGCGAGUUGCGGAUACUGGCAAGGUUAAGCACUUAAGGUGCGGAGCCGAAGGGAUACCAAGUCUUAACAGGGCGUUAAGUCAGUAUACGCAGACCCGAAACCGGGUGAUCUAUCCAUGUCCAGGUUGAAGUUGUCGUAAAAGACAAUGGAGGACCGAAGCCACAUCCGUUGAAAAGGGUGGGCAUGAGGUGUGGAUAGGGGAGAAAUUCCAAUCGAACCCGGAGAUAGCUGGUUCUCCUCGAAAUAGCUUUAGGGCUAGCCUCGAUUUAGUCUUAUGGAGGUAGAGCACUGAAUUUCCGCGGGGGCGUCAAAGCUUACCAAAGAAUAUCAAACUCCGAAUGCCAUGUAGAUGAUGAUCGGGAGUCAGACUGCACGAGAUAAGUUGGGCAGUCAAAAGGGAAAGAGCCCAGACCACCGGCUAAGGUCCCAAAGUGCGUGUUAAGUGGAAAAGGAUGUGGGAAUUCGAAGACAACUAGGAUGUUGGCUCAGAAGCAGCCAUACAUUCAAAGAGUGCGUAACAGCUCACUAGUCGAGAGUUCCUGCGCCGAAAAUGUCCGGGGCUGAAACACGACACCGAAGCCGUGGACUCGCAAUGCGAGUGGUAGAGGAGCAUUCUUAAAACCGACGAAGCUGUACCGUAAGGAGCAGUGGAGGGAUAAGAAGAGAGAAUGCCGGAAUGAGUAGCGAGAGAAAGGUGGGAAUCCUUUCGGCCGAAUAUCUAAGGUUUCCAGAGUAAAGCUGAUCUGCUCUGGGUAAGUCGGGGCCUAAGCACAGGUCGCAAGACGUAAGCGAUGGAUAACAGGUUUAGAUUCCUGUACCACGCAUUAUCAGAACUGUAGGGACGCAUGUGGAAAGCACGAGCCGGGAAUGGAAAGACCGGUACAAGCGGGGUAGGUGUACGAUAGGCAAAUCCGUCGUAUAAUCCGAAGACGUGAUGUGGAGCGAAAUAAAGUAGCGAAGCGUGUGAGCCAUGUGCCGAGAAAAGCUGCUAUUGUGUAAUGCGUGCCCGUACCGUAAACCGACACAGGUGGAUGAGGAGAGAAUCCUAAGGCCGACGGAAGAAGCAUUGUUAAGGAAUUCGGCAAAAUGACCCCGUAACUUCGGGAGAAGGGGUGCCUGCGAGAGCAGGCCGCAGAGAAUAGGCUCAAGCAACUGUUUAGCAAAAACACAGGUCUAUGCGAAACCGAAAGGUGAAGUAUAUGGGCUGACGCCUGCCCGGUGCUGGAAGGUUAAGAGGAGAGGUUAGCGUAAGCGAAGCUUUGAAUUUAAGCCCCAGUAAACGGCGGCCGUAACUAUAACGGUCCUAAGGUAGCGAAAUUCCUUGUCGGGUAAGUUCCGACCC